CCUACGGGUGGCAGCAGUGGGGAAUAUUGCACAAUGGGCGCAAGCCUGAUGCAGCCAUGCCGCGUGUGUGAAGAAGGCCUUCGGGUUGUAAAGCACUUUCAGCGGGGAGGAAGGCGUUAAGGUUAAUAACCUUGGCGAUUGCCGUUACCCGCAGAAGAAGCACCGGCUAACUCCGUGCCAGCAGCCGCGGUAAUACGGAGGGUGCAAGCGUUAAUCGGAAUUACUGGGCGUAAAGCGCACGCAGGCGGUCUGUCAAGUCGGAUGUGAAAUCCCCGGGCUCAACCUGGGAACUGCAUUCGAAACUGGCAGGCUAGAGUCUUGUAGAGGGGGGUAGAAUUCCAGGUGUAGCGGUGAAAUGCGUAGAGAUCUGGAGGAAUACCGGUGGCGAAGGCGGCCCCCUGGACAAAGACUGACGCUCAGGUGCGAAAGCGUGGGGAGCAAACAGGAUUAGAUACCCGUGUAGUC
rnacentral:rRNA from 1 species